rnacentral:rRNA from 1 species
GGAGGAAAAGAAACCAACAGGGAUUGCCCCAGUAACGGCGAGUGAAGCGGCAACAGCUCAAAUUUGAAAUCUGGCCCUAGGCCCGAGUUGUAAUUUGCAGAGGAUGCUUUUGGCGCGGUGCCUUCCGAGUUCCCUGGAACGGGACGCCAUAGAGGGUGAGAGCCCCGUACGGUUGGACACCAAGCCUUUGUAAAGCUCCUUCGACGAGUCGAGUAGUUUGGGAAUGCUGCUCAAAAUGGGAGGUAUAUUUCUUCUAAAGCUAAAUAUUGGCCAGAGACCGAUAGCGCACAAGUAGAGUGAUCGAAAGAUGAAAAGCACUUUGAAAAGAGGGUUAAACAGCACGUGAAAUUGUUAAAAGGGAAGCGCUUGUGACCAGACUUGCGCCCGGUGAAUCACCCAGCUCUCGCGGCUGGGGCACUUUGCCGGCACAGGCCAGCAUCAGCUUGCCGUCGGGGACAAAAGCUUCAGGAACGUAGCUCUCUUCGGGGAGUGUUAUAGCCUGUUGCAUAAUACCCUUCGGCGGGCUGAGGUACGCGCUCCGCAAGGAUGCUGGCGUAAUGGUCAUCAGCGACCCGUCUUGAAACACGGACCAAGGAGUCAACCUUAUGUGCGAGUGUUUGGGUGUUAAACCCCUACGCGUAAUGAAAGUGAACGCAGGUGAGAGCUUCGGCGCAUCAUCGACCGAUCCUGAUGUUCUCGGAUGGAUUUGAGUAAGAGCAUAUAGGGUUGGACCCGAAAGAAGGUGAACUAUGCGUGUAUAGGGUGAAGCCAGAGGAAACUCUGGUGGAGGCUCGCAGCGGUUCUGACGUGCAAAUCGAUCGUCAAAUAUGCGCAUGGGGGCGAAAGACUAAUCGAACCUUCUA